UACGUAGGUGGCAAGCGUUGUCCGGAUUUACUGGGCGUAAAGAGCGCGCAGGCGGUCGUGUAAGUCGCGUGUGAAGGCCCCCGGCUCAACUGGGGAGGGUCACGCGAUACUGCUCGACUCGAAGGCAGGAGAGGGAAGUGGAAUUCCCGGUGUAGUGGUGAAAUGCGUAGAUAUCGGGAGGAACACCAGUGGCGAAGGCGACUUUCUGGCCUGUUAUUGACGCUGAGGCGCGAAAGCUAGGGUAGCAAACAGG
rnacentral:rRNA from 1 species